UGGGGAAUUUUGGACAAUGGGCGCAAGCCUGAUCCAGCAAUGCCGCGUGUGUGAAGAAGGCCUUCUGGUUGUAAAGCACUUUUGUCCGGAAAGAAAACCUCGUGGUUAAUACCCGUGGGGGAUGACGGUACCGGAAGAAUAAGCACCGGCUAACUACGUGCCAGCAGCCGCGGUAAUACGUAGGGUGCAAGCGUUAAUCGGAAUUACUGGGCGUAAAGCGUGCGCAGGCGGUUCGCUAAGACAGAUGUGAAAUCCCCGGGCUUAACCUGAGAACUGCAUUUGUGACUGGCGGGCUAGAGUAUGGCAGAGGGGGGUAGAGUUCCACGUGUAGCAGUGAAAUGCGUAGAGAUGUGGAGGAAUACCGAUGGCGAAGGCAGCCACCUGGGCCAAUACUGACGCUCAUGCACGAAAGCGUGGGGAGCAAACAGG
rnacentral:rRNA from 1 species